rnacentral:misc_RNA from 1 species
UCCGGGGUUUCCCCGGCAGUCUCGCAUGAGUUCCCGGCAUUACCCGCUGGCAACAUGCGAUGGGGGUUGCGCUCGUUGCGGGACUUAACCCAACACCUCACGGCACGAGCUGACGACGGCCAUGCACCACCUGUGCACAGGCCCCGAAGGGCUGCCGUAUUUCUACGACAUACCUGUGCAUGUCAAACCCAGGUAAGGUUCUUCGCGUUGCAUCGAAUUAAUCCGCAUGCUCCGCCGCUUGUGCGGGCCCCCGUCAAUUCCUUUGAGUUUUAGCCUUGCGGCCGUACUCCCCAGGCGGGGCACUUAAUGCGUUAGCUCCGGCACGGGAGGAGUCGACACCUCCCACACCUAGUGCCCAUCGUUUACGGCGUGGACUAC